AAUUCGAUGAUACGCGAGGAACUUACCUGGGCUCGACGUAAGAUGACUGUAGUGAAAGCUUACAUCUCUUCGGAGCAUUUUACGAGGUGCUGCAUGGUUGUCGUCAGCUCGUGCCGUGAGGUGUCGGGUUAAGUCCCAUAACGAGCGCAACCCCUACCUUUAGUUGCCAUCAGGUUAAGCUGGGGACUCUAAAGGAACUGCCUACGCAAGUAGUGAGGAAGGCGGGGAGUGACGUCAAAUCAGCACGGCCCUUACGUCCAGGGCUACACACGUGCUACAAUGGCCGAUACAGAGGGCAGCUACCUGGUGACAGGAUGCAAAAUCUCCAAAGUCGGUCUCAGUUCGGAUCGGAGUCUGCAACCCGACUCCGUGAAGUUGGAUUCGCUAGUAAUCGCGCAUCAGCCAUGGCGCGGUGAAUACGUUCCCGGGCCUU
rnacentral:rRNA from 1 species